rnacentral:rRNA from 1 species
AAAGACCUUAUGCUUUUGGAGCGGCCGAUGUCUGAUUAGCUAGUUGGUAAGGUAAUGGCUUACCAAGGCGACGAUCAGUAGUUGGUCUGAGAGGACGGCCAGCCACACUGGGACUGAGACACGGCCCAGACUCCUACGGGAGGCAGCAGUGGGGAAUUUUGGACAAUGGGCGCAAGCCUGAUCCAGCAAUGCCGCGUGAGUGAAGAAGGCCUUCGGGUUGUAAAGCUCUUUCAGUCGAGAAGAAAAGGUUGUGACUAAUAAUCAUGACUCAUGACGGUAUCGACAGAAGAAGCACCGGCUAACUACGUGCCAGCAGCCGCGGUAAUACGUAGGGUGCGAGCGUUAAUCGGAAUUACUGGGCGUAAAGGGUGCGCAGGCGGUUCUGUAAGUCAGAUGUGAAAUCCCCGGGCUUAACCUGGGAACU